GACCUAAUGAGUUAAAUGCUUGCUGGGCUAGUGUGAAGACCCAAGCGAGUGUGGAUUGCCAGCCAGCACCCACUCAGAGCUGAGCCAGAGAGCAUGUCUCCAGUCCCUAAGGCAAGUUGUGAGGUAAAGACGGGAGAGUCCACGGAGGCUGAGAAGCCAGCUAGCCUGUGGGCACUGCAGUGGACAGGAGACCCUGUCUUAGACGAGGUACAAGGGCAUGGAGGCGCAAAUCUCUCUGGAAACAAGAUCUGGAAACAAGUUGAAGGCUCUUGGUUUUAGCCUCCCCUUGGGAACUUGCUGUGCUUCCCCUGGCAAAUUAACCAUGAUAUCUGUCUGUCCCAGGAGGGGCUGAAAGCCUUCCCCAACCCCAGCUCCUCCACUGUGUAAAACAAAUGAGUUGGGAGUCCCGUGAUCCACUCCCUUCUUAGAAAGCCAGGACAGUACUUGUUAUUCUUUUUUAAAUUCUUAAGUGCUUUGCUCUU
ensembl:lincRNA 1700096J18Rik RIKEN cDNA 1700096J18 gene